GACAGGUGCUGCAUGGCUGUCGUCAGCUCGUGUUGUGAAAUGUUGGGUUAAGUCUCGCAACGAGCGCAACCCCUAUCUUUAGUUGCCAGCAUUAAGUUGGGCACUCUAGAGAGACUGCCCGGGUUAACCGGGAGGAAGGUGGGGAUGACGUCAAGUCCUCAUGGCCCUUAUGCCUAGGGCUACACACGUAAUACAAUGGUGCAUACAAUGGGAAGCGACCUGGCAACAGUGAGCAAAUCUCAAAAAGUGCAUCUCAGUCCGGAUUGGAGUCUGCAACUCGACUCCAUGAAGUUGGAAUCGCUAGUA
rnacentral:rRNA from 1 species